AGUGGCGGACGGGUGAGUAACGCGUGAGAAUCUGCCUUGGGGUCGGGGACAACCACUGGAAACGGUGGCUAAUACCGGAUAAGCCGAUUGGUGAAAGAUUUAUUGCCCGAAGAGGAGCUCGCGUCUGAUUAGCUAGUUGGUGAGGUAAGAGCUCACCAAGGCAGCGAUCAGUAGCUGGUCUGAGAGGACGAUCAGCCACACUGGGACUGAGACACGGCCCAGACUCCUACGGGAGGCAGCAGUGGGGAAUUUUCCGCAAUGGGCGAAAGCCUGACGGAGCAAGACCGCGUGAGGGAGGAAGGCUCUUGGGUUGUAAACCUCUUUUCUCAGGGAAGAAGCUCUGACGGUACCUGAGGAAUCAGCCUCGGCUAACUCCGUGCCAGCAGCCGCGGUAAUACGGAGGAGGCAAGCGUUAUCCGGAAUUAUUGGGCGUAAAGCGUCCGCAGGUGGCGAUUCAAGUCUGCUGUCAAAGCACGGGGCUUAACUCCGUAAAGGCAGUGGAAACUGAAUAGCUAGAGUGCCGUAGGGGUAGAGGGAAUUCCCGGUGUAGCGGUGAAAUGCGUAGAGAUCGGGAAGAACAUCGGUGGCGAAAGCCCUCUACUGGACGGCAACUGACACUCAGGGACGAAAGCUAGGGGAGCGAAUGGGAUUAGAUACCCC
rnacentral:rRNA from 1 species